rnacentral:rRNA from 1 species
GACGAACGCUGGCGGCGUGCUUAACACAUGCAAGUCGAACGGUAAGGCCCUUCGGGGUACACGAGUGGCGAACGGGUGAGUAACACGUGGGUGAUCUGCCCUGCACUUCGGGAUAAGCCUGGGAAACUGGGUCUAAUACCGGAUAGGACUCCGGACUGCAUGGUCUGGGGUGGCAAGCUUUUGCGGUGUGGGAUGGGCCCGCGGCCUAUCAGCUUGUUGGGGGGGUGAUGGCCUACCAAGGCGACGACGGGUAGCCGGCCUGAGAGGGUGACCGGCCACACUGGGACUGAGAUACGGCCCAGACUCCUACGGGAGGCAGCAGUGGGGAAUAUUGCACAAUGGGCGCAAGCCUGAUGCAGCGACGCCGCGUGAGGGAUGACGGCCUUCGGGUUGUAAACCUCUUUCAGCAUCGACGAAGCGAAAGUGACGGUAGGUGCAGAAGGAGGACCGGCCAACUACGUGCCAGCCGCCGCAGUAA